CCUACGGGUGGCAGCAGUGGGGAAUAUUGGGCAAUGGGCGCAAGCCUGACCCAGCAACGCCGCGUGAAGGAAGAAGGCUUUCGGGUUGUAAACUUCUUUUGUCAGGGAAGAGUAGAAGACGGUACCUGACGAAUAAGCCACGGCUAACUACGUGCCAGCAGCCGCGGGAAUACGUAGGUGGCAAGCGUUGUCCGGAUUUACUGGGUGUAAAGGGCGUGUAGGCGGGUUGACAAGUCAGAUGUGAAAUCCUGCGGCUUAACCGCAGAACUGCAUUUGAAACUGUUGAUCUUGAGUACUGGAGAGGGAGAUGGAAUUCCUGGUGUAGCAGUGAAAUGCGUAGAUAUUAGGAGGAACACCAGUGGCGAAGGCGGUCUGCUGGACAGCAACUGACGGUGAGGCGCGAAAGCGUGGGGAGCAAACAGGAUUAGAUACCCUUGUAGUC
rnacentral:rRNA from 1 species